AUCAUCAAUAUUUUUCAAGAAUCAUUUGUUUUACCUUCUUUGAAUCUCUGCUCUUUCUUUCAGGAGAAUGGUGGAGAAGGACGGCCUCUUAUUAGUGCUGAAAAAGAGAAAUUCACUGAAGGAAUUAACAACACACUGAAGGUUCCUGAUGGAGUGAAAUUCACUGAUGAAACUAAAAACACACAGAAAGGUCCUGAUGGAGUGAAACCCACUGAUGAAACUAACAACACACUACAUGACUCUGAUGGAGUGAACCCCACUGCUGAUGGAACUAACAACACACAGAAUGAUUCCGAUGGAGUGAAACCCACUGCUGAUGGAACUAACAACACACAGAAUGAUCCUGAUGGAGUGAAACCCACUGAUGGAACUAACAACACACAGAAUGAUUCCGAUGGAGUGAAACCCACUGAUGGAACUAACAACACACAGAAUGAUUCUGAUGGAGUGAAACCCACUGCUGAUGGAACUAACAACACACAGAAUGAUCCUGCUGAAGAGAAACCCACUGAUGAGGCUGAGACCCUGCAGAUGGAAGCAGCUGAAGGGGCAGAACUUAAUAAUGCUAAGACUAGUACUGCUAAAAGGGAACACAUUAAUUAGGCUGAGACCAAAAGGAUAAAAUAAAACACAUUUCAUGAAUCUUGGAGGUGUUCAGUUUGAGCAGAUGAUUUUAGCACCCCUGUCAUUGUAAGAGUUCAUUUCCUUAUUACAUUCAGCAUCUAGGCCAUAUUCGCUAUCUCAGCCAUAUUCUCAAAACUGUUGUUUUCAAUGUCUUCAAAGUCAAUAUUGUGAUUGUCAUCAUCUUAUUCACCACAUCAACCUUCAAAUGACAGUGACACUUAAAGUUGAUUGCACACAGUAAUGCUCUGUAGUAAAGCUAUUUAAGCAAUUUCAUGUUUUGAUGAUGAAUUUCUCAUUUUAUGUAAAUCAUCAUGUUAUCAUGUAUCAAACAUUUCCACCUUAAAGAAUAAAGGUGAAUUACAGUCACUUGAGUCAUCAGAUAUUUAAUUAUUGUUGCAGAGAAAAAAAUAUGCUUACACUAUUGCACUAUCCAUUAUACUUUUGUCUUUUUUAAACAAAAAGUUAAUUAGAAAACAGACAUUCUUUUACAGUUUUUUUUUUCUUGUUGUUUUGUUCACAAUUAAUAGAUUGAGGAGUACGAAGAAGGUGGAUGUACUAAAAUUAAAAAAAAAAUAAAAAUGAAUAAUUAAAAAAAAAAAUUAAAAAAAAUGAAUGAGUGGGAGGGUAGUGAAUGAUGUACCGGGUCCCUAAAGACCUGAGGUAAACAUUUAAAGGUUAAACACUAGCAUUUAAUGUGUAAGACCCCGUAACACACUAAUCUGCGUUAAUAAGAUUCUUAGCAAUGCCAUAAUGAUGUUAAUGAUUCUAGAUAAAAACAAAAUCACUGUUUUUGUAGUAAAUAAAGUAAGCUGCUGUUAUAUAUUAACAAAAAUAAAAAAAUAAAAAAUAAUUGCCCAUGUCAUUAGGAAGCAAAGCACUUACUCCACUUGUUUAAUUAAAUAAAGUAUGGGAUGUGCUCAAUGUUAAAGAGUUAUUAAGCGCAACAAGCCACAGAAAAGAUCUCAAUGAACAAUGACACAAACCUGAAGCGCAAGCACAGAAAGCCUCCUCUCUAUGACAGCAUGUGAUACCAAAUUCAGUCUUUUGUGGUAUUUUGUACUUGAAUGUUCAGAUAAAAUUCAAAAUACCCAUCUUGGUGAGUUUUAUAAUUGAACUGUUAAACUCUGAAUUGUAAUCAAAUCAUGAGGCAAGUGAGGAUUCAUACUAGUAUAUAUAUACCUUCAGCUUCAUCAUCAGAGCCACCUAUGAUGUGCUCCCAUCUCCAAAAAACCUCAACCAGUGGUAUGGCGAGGACCCUACUUGUGCCCUCUGCCCAACUCCAGCGACUCUUAAGCACAUCUUGGCCGGUUGUAAGACCUGCCUCACACAAGGUCGUUACACCUGGAGACACAACCAGGUCCUCAAGAGUCUGGCAGCAGCUCUUGAGAGCCAGAGGAAUACCACUAACUCCCUGCCCCUGAGAGCGAUCGAUUCCAUCACGGCCCCAACCUUCAUCCGAGAGGGGCAGAAAAAGCCCAAACAUCCCCCUACCAAAA
rnacentral:lncRNA from 1 species